rnacentral:rRNA from 1 species
AUGCAGUCGAACGAGAGAAGAGAAGCUUGCUUUUCUGAUCUAGUGGCGGACGGGUGAGUAACACGUGAGCAAUCUGCCUUUCAGAGGGGGAUACCGAUUGGAAACGAUCGUUAAUACCGCAUAAUAUAAUUGAACCGCAUGAUUUGAUUAUCAAAGAUUUAUCGCUGAAAGAUGAGCUCGCGUCUGAUUAGCUAGUUGGUAAGGUAACGGCUUACCAAGGCGACGAUCAGUAGCCGGACUGAGAGGUUGAUCGGCCACAUUGGGACUGAGACACGGCCCAGACUCCUACGGGAGGCAGCAGUGGGGAAUAUUGCACAAUGGAGGAAACUCUGAUGCAGCGAUGCCGCGUGAGGGAAGAAGGUUUUAGGAUUGUAAACCUCUGUCUUCAGGGACGAAAAAAGACGGUACCUGAGGAGGAAGCUCCGGCUAACUACGUGCCAGCAGCCGCGGUAAUACGUAGGGAGCGAGCGUUGUCCGGAAUUACUGGGUGUAAAGGGAGCGUAGGCGGGAUCGCAAGUCAGAUGUGAAAACUAUGGGCUUAACCCAUAAACUGCAUUUGAAACUGUGGUUCUUGAGUGAAGUA